GGGGCUGUAGCUCAACUGGGAGAGCGCCAGAAUCGCACUCUGGAGGUUGGCGGUUCGAUCCCGCUCAGCUCCA
rnacentral:tRNA from 1 species